rnacentral:rRNA from 1 species
UUGUCUGAACCGCAUGGUUCAGACAUAAAAGGUGGCUUCGGCUACCACUUACAGAUGGACCCGCGGCGCAUGGUAGCUAGUUGGUGAGGUAACGGCUCACCAAGGCGACGAUGCGUAGCCGACCUGAGAGGGUGAUCGGCCACACUGGGACUGAGACACGGCCCAGACUCCUACGGGAGGCAGCAGUAGGGAAUCUUCCGCAAUGGACGAAAGUAGCUGACGGAGCAAGCGCCGCGUGAGUGAUGAAGGUUUUCGGAUCGUAAAGCUCUGUUGUUAGGGAAGAACAAGUGCCCGUUCAAAUAGGGCGGCACCUUGACGGUACCUAACCAGAAAGCCACGGCUAACUACGUGCCAGCAGCCGCGGUAAUACGUAGGUGGCAAGCGUUGUCCGGAAUUAUUGGGCGUAAAGGGCUCGCAGGCGGUUUCUUAAGUCUGAUGUGAAAGCCCCCGGCUCAACCGGGGAGGGUCAUUGGAAACUGGGGAACUUGAGUGCAGAAGAGGAGAGUGGAAUUCCAAGGCGUGUAGCGGUGAAAUGCGUAGAGAUGUGGAGGAACACCAGUGGCGAAAGCGACUCUCUGGUCUGUAACUGACGCU